rnacentral:rRNA from 1 species
AACGAACGCUGGCGGCAUGCCUAACACAUGCAAGUCGAACGAGAUCUUCGGGUCUAGUGGCGCACGGGUGCGUAACGCGUGGGAAUCUGCCCUUUGGUUCGGAAUAACAGUUGGAAACGACUGCUAAUACCGGAUGAUGACGAAAGUCCAAAGAUUUAUCGCCAGAGGAUGAGCCCGCGUAGGAUUAGCUAGUUGGUGUGGUAAAGGCGCACCAAGGCGACGAUCCUUAGCUGGUCUGAGAGGAUGAUCAGCCACACUGGGACUGAGACACGGCCCAGACUCCUACGGGAGGCAUCAGUGGGGAAUAUUGGACAAUGGGCGAAAGCCUGAUCCAGCAAUGCCGCGUAAGUGUUGAAGGCCUUAGGGUUGUAAAGCUCUUUUACCCGGGAUGAUAAUGACAGUACCGGGAGAAUAAGCUCCGGCUAACUCCGUGCCAGCAGCCGCCGUAA